GUUGUUGAUCACUACUGUUAGAUGAUUUGAUUAUUAACUCUAGCUGAAGUUGACCUGGAACAUACAUAUUGGUACUUAAACUUAAGUACUUUAACUAUGGUUUCAUAUGCUUGCUUUAUACCUGCGAAAUCAAAAUACAGCCAUUCAGGUGAUAUGUGUACUUUCUCAAAUCCCAGCAAGCUUUGGCUUUAAAAGGAGAGCCUUUGAGCUCUACUUCUAGAGUUCCUUCGUGGGAAAUUGUUACUAAAACUCAUGGGAGCCAGUAUUGGAAAGGUUUUGAAGGAUGACAAGUGUUUGUACCUUGGAAUUGAUGAUUUCAGACAAGAUGUUGGUACAACAGGUAAUUUCUAGGGAUUUUUCUUUUUUGCAGUCAUUGUUCGGUGAUGUAUUUUACAACCAACCAGUUCAAAGGAAGCAAUUGCACUCCAAGUACUUCUAGCUUUUCAAACUUAAAACAAGAAAAAGAAAAUUGAUUUAUGUACUUUACUAAAGCUGUUCUGUGAUCUGAUUGCUCUUUUGGUUUGCUAUACAAUCUGGAAGGCCAAAGAGGGUCUUGCAUUCUCUGAAAUUGUCUUUUUUAAGAAUCGACCUUAUGCAUCCCAGUGUCUCCUUCAAAUUUGUUGAUAUUGAAAGGUCAUCUUUGAUACACCAGUAACUUAAGGAUAUUUCCUGUCUAGUUUUUCCGAUCUUGUUCAUUUGCAUGCAGUAAGGUUUGAGCUUCUUCUUAGACCGUUAACAAAUUGAGUGCAAGUGAUGGUUAAUUCAAGCUUUCAGGAUACCUCUCAGGUCCUGAUGUUUAUACAAUGCAAGUAUACAAGCAUAGAUAAAGUGAUGUGAUAAGUUAUCUUCUGUUCUCUUUGUUUCUUUGACAACCAUGGUUUAAUUGGCAGGUACUUCAGUUUUUCUGCAUCCACUUAUUUCAGUAUAUUGUCCUGACAAAAGAAACAGAAAACUAAUUCUUGGUUUAACUUUUACUUUAUCGAAUGCUUGUUUUUUACAGUGUAUUUGUUUUCCUUGACCUUCUUAUUGCUGAUAUCAAUUCAAGAUUUUUUUCCCAAGGACCAAUACAUAAAUUACUCAGAGCAUGUUUGGAUUGACUUGUUUUAAGUGCUUUUAAGUCAGAAUAGCUUUUAAGUACUUUUGGAGUAUUUGGAGAAUUUCAGAAAGGGCUUAUAAGCACUUAAUUUUAAGCUAAAAUGUUAAAAUAAGCCAAAAGUCAUCAGUUAGAAUUUCUAACUUAUGGCUUUUGGCUUUGAAGUUAAAAGUCAAAAGACAAUUCAAACUGGCUCUUAAUAACACCAACGAUGAGUUUCGACAGUACUUCUGACAUAGAGCAGCUACGUAGAUAUUGAUAUAUCCACUGUUUUUGAUGUACCUAAACUGCCCAAGAUCUUUAUAUGGUUAGACGUAGGCAUUUAGGAUUUAAUUUUUUUUGUAGGGUUUUAGUG
rnacentral:misc_RNA from 1 species